GAGUUUGAUCCUGGCUCAGGAUGAACGCUGGCGGCGUGCCUAAUACAUGCAAGUCGAACGAGUUCUGAUUAUUGAAAGGUGCUUGCAUCUUGAUUUAAUUUUGAACGAGUGGCGGACGGGUGAGUAACACGUGGGUAACCUGCCCUUAAGUGGGGGAUAACAUUUGGAAACAGAUGCUAAUACCGCAUAAAUCCAAGAACCGCAUGGUUCUUGGCUGAAAGAUGGCGUAAGCUAUCGCUUUUGGAUGGACCCGCGGCGUAUUAGCUAGUUGGUGAGGUAACGGCUCACCAAGGCAAUGAUACGUAGCCGAACUGAGAGGUUGAUCGGCCACAUUGGGACUGAGACACGGCCCAAACUCCUACGGGAGGCAGCAGUAGGGAAUCUUCCACAAUGGACGCAAGUCUGAUGGAGCAACGCCGCGUGAGUGAAGAAGGCUUUCGGGUCGUAAAACUCUGUUGUUGGAGAAGAAUGGUCGGCAGAGUAACUGUUGUCGGCGUGACGGUAUCCAACCAGAAAGCCACGGCUAACUACGUGCCAGCAGCCGCGGUAAUACGUAGGUGGCAAGCGUUAUCCGGAUUUAUUGGGCGUAAAGCGAGCGCAGGCGGUUUUUUAAGUCUGAUGNGAAAGCCCUCGGCUUAACCGAGGAAGUGCAUCGGAAACUGGGAAACUUGAGUGCAGAAGAGGACAGUGGAACUCCAUGUGUAGCGGUGAAAUGCGUAGAUAUAUGGAAGA
rnacentral:rRNA from 1 species